AGGACUGUCUACUUAAGAAGCUGAGAGUGAGUUAGGAACAUUGAUGAAGCCUCUAUUCUGUGAGCUGCCAGCUUCUCCUCACCUGGAUGACUAAAUGGGAGCAGAGUGCUGGGCCAUGAACUGAAGGUGGGUG
rnacentral:lncRNA from 1 species